UUUAUAAUCGGAAUAAGCAUCGACUUAUCUUCAAAUGCGAUAUUCCGAGCAGAAAGCAGAGGACUAUAUAAUAAUUGUUCAACCCUAAAGAACUUCGAAAGAAACAAGAUUUUUACUAUUUAUUUGAAGAUGAUACCCAAAAUCGCAAAAAGCGG